AUGGACGCGCUCCCUCCACAUCGGACCGCAAGCCUCCUCACGGCUCAGAGACGCUUCCAGCCGCCGGAGGGGCCCGUGCACCGCCGGCAGAGAAAUGCGCUGGAGUUGUCUUUUCUGUCAUCUGGACACCAACAUCGUAGAGACUGGGUCCAAAUCUGUUACUUGCUUACCGAUGGCCAUGAAGGCACGAACACGAGCCCAGCCACGAGGACCUCCCGGACUUCUCCGUGUGCAGAGGGGGGGCCCCUGUGCGCAGUCCACAGCCCGGGAACUCUCUGGUCUCUGGGACUCCCGCCAGAGAAGCAUCUUCUCAGGUUCGUAGAAAAGGUUCUCACCGAGCUUCGCGUUUAUUGCUAACUUACAACGUCUGGUGGUUAGUGAUUGUGUAUAUUCCUUCCUUUUUUUUUUUUCUUAAUAAUUCCUUGCCUUCAUUCUGGGACGGAGUGUUAACUUCCUGACUCCACGCAUGCCCUUAACUUUCCACUUUUCGUGUUUCAAGUUGUCACAUCCUCACUUCUCUCGGUCACGUGGGGCGCAUCUCACAGAUGACACGGCUCAGACCUUACUUGCAUGGUUCCUCGCUAGCGCACGGCUACUGAAAAAUCCCUAAGUACAUAAAAUUAAAAGUAAUCAUUUUCCUGUUGCGGGUCCAAGAAUGCAUUAAAAAGGACGUCUGUUGCUAAUUCACCUGGAACCGGUGUGAACUGCCAGAUUUGGGAAUACAGAGAAACAUUUUUGUUCAAAAUAUCCAGCAGGGGAAAUAAAAAAACAUAAAAUGAGAACUAAGAGGAACACCUUUCUCAGGGGAGGAAUAUUCGCUGUGUUUUUCUUUGGCUUUAUUGAGGUGUCACCGACUGAUUUAAAUUGCAUCUGUUUAAGGCAGACACUGUUUUGAUUUGCAGAUAACAGCGCGAAAUGUCUACUGCCCGUUG
rnacentral:lncRNA from 1 species